rnacentral:rRNA from 1 species
GAUGAACGCUAGCUACAGGCUUAACACAUGCAAGUCGCGGGGCAGCAUGGGGGUUGCUUGCAAUCCCCGAUGGCGACCGGCGCACGGGUGAGUAACGCGUAUCCAACCUGCCCUUCACCACGGGAUAACCCGGCGAAAGUCGGACUAAUACCGUAUGUUUUCCAUUGACGGCAUCCGAUUUGGACGAAAGGUUUGGCGGUGAAGGAGGGGGAUGCGUCCGAUUAGCUGGACGGCGGGGUGACGGCCCACCGUGGCGACGAUCGGUAGGGGUUCUGAGAGGAAGGUCCCCCACACUGGAACUGAGACACGGUCCAGACUCCUACGGGAGGCAGCAGUGAGGAAUAUUGGUCAAUGGGCGUAAGCCUGAACCAGCCAAGUAGCGUGCAGGAUGACGGCCCUAUGGGUUGUAAACUGCUUUUAUGCGGGGAUAAAGUGGCCCACGUGUGGGUUUUUGCAGGUACCGCAUGAAUAAGGACCGGCUAAUUCCGUG